GUAGUUAGCCGGGGCUUCCUCACAGGGUACCGUCACUUUCUUCGUUCCCUGCGACAGAGGUUUACAAUCCGAAAACCUUCUUCCCUCACGCGGCGUUGCUGGGUCAGGCUUGCGCCCAUUGCCCAAUAUUCCCCACUGCUGCCUCCCGUAGGAGUCUGGACCGUGUCUCAGUUCCAGUGUGGCCGAUCAGCCUCUCAGCUCGGCUACCCAUCGUCGGCUAGGUGGGCCGUUACCCCGCCUACUACCUAAUGGGACGCGAACUCCUCUCAAAGCGAUAAAUCUUUGACCUCUCUCCGAUGCCGGAGCGUGGUCUUAUGCGGUAUUAGCACCGAUUUCUCUGCGUUAUCCCCCACUUUGAGUUAGAUUGUUCACGCGUUACUCACCCGUUCGCCACUAAGAUAUAAACCGAAAUCUCAUAUCUCCGUUCGACUUGCAUGUGUUAGGCACGCCGCCAGCGUUCGUCCUGAGCCAGGAUCAAACUCUGA
rnacentral:rRNA from 1 species